CGUAGGGUGCAAGCGUUAAUCGGAAUUACUGGGCGUAAAGCGUGCGCAGGCGGUGAUGUAAGACAGUUGUGAAAUCCCCGGGCUCAACCUGGGAACUGCAUCUGUGACUGCAUUGCUGGAGUGCGGCAGAGGGGAUGGAAUUCCGCGUGUAGCAGUGAAAUGCGUAGAUAUGCGGAGGAACACCGAUGGCGAAGGCAAUCCCCUGGGCCUGCACUGACGCUCAUGCACGAAAGCGUGGGGAGCAAACAGGAUUAGAUACCCUGGUAGUCCACGCCCUAAACGAUGUCAACUGGUUGUUGGGUCUUCACUGACUCAGUAACGAAGCUAACGCGUGAAGUUGACCGCCUGGGGAGUACGGCCGCAAGGUUG
rnacentral:rRNA from 1 species